CCUACGGGAGGCAGCAGUGGGGAAUAUUGGACAAUGGGCGGAAGCCUGAUCCAGCCAUGCCGCGUGUGUGAAGAAGGCCUUUUGGUUGUAAAGCACUUUAAGCGAGGAGGAGGCUACUAGUAUUAAUACUACUGGAUAGUGGACGUUACUCGCAGAAUAAGCACCGGCUAACUCUGUGCCAGCAGCCGCGGUAAUACAGAGGGUGCGAGCGUUAAUCGGAUUUACUGGGCGUAAAGCGUGCGUAGGCGGCUGAUUAAGUCGGAUGUGAAAUCCCUGAGCUUAACUUAGGAAUUGCAUUCGAUACUGGUCAGCUAGAGUAUGGGAGAGGAUGGUAGAAUUCCAGGUGUAGCGGUGAAAUGCGUAGAGAUCUGGAGGAAUACCGAUGGCGAAGGCAGCCAUCUGGCCUAAUACUGACGCUGAGGUACGAAAGCAUGGGGAGCAAACAGGAUUAGAUACCCUGGUAGUCCAUGCCGUAAACGAUGUCUACUAGCCGUUGGGGUCUUUGAGACUUUAGUGGCGCAGCUAACGCGAUAAGUAGACCGCCCUGGGGAGUACGGUCGCAAGACUAAAACUCAAAAUGAAAUUGACGG
rnacentral:rRNA from 1 species